rnacentral:misc_RNA from 1 species
AGGGAUCAUUACUGAGUAAUCCUACUCAUACCUUUUGUGCACUUAUCUGUUGCUUUGGUAGGGAGCUAGUUGGCUUUUGUAGCCACCUACUAAUUUACUUUGUGUCUUUUAUAGGCACCUUGUGCCCUGCCAAAGGGUCGAAACUCCAAGUUAUAUUACUUUUCUUAGUGAAUUUCUUAAAUUCAAAUAACAAACUUUCAGCAACGGAUCUCUUGGUUCUGGGCAUCGAUGAAGAACGCAGCAAAAUGCGAUAAAUAAUGUGAAUUGCAGAAUUCCGUGAAUCAUCGAAUUUUUGAACGCAUAUUGCGCCUAUUAGUAUUCUAGUAGGCAUACCUAUUCGAGCGUCGUUUCCAGCCUCAACUUGUACUAGUUGGUGUUGAAGAGUAGAAUUUAUUGACUAUUCUUCUAAAUAUAAUGGCCUAGUUGGAGCUAAUUUCUACGAAGUAAAUAAAAUACACGUUUAAA